rfam:Pteropus alecto contig18238, whole genome shotgun sequence.
GGAUGUGAGGGUGCUCUGGCUGCGACAUCUUUCACCCCAUUGAUCGCCAGGGUUGAUUCGGCUGAUCUGGCUGGCUAGGCGGGUGUCCCCUUCCUCCCUCACCACUCCAUGUGCGUCCCUCCCGAAGCUGCACACUCGGUCGAAGAGGACGACCUUCCCUGAUAGAAGAGAGUACCAUUCUUCGGUCAAGGGUAUAGGAGUAGCUGCGCUCCCCUACUAGAACCUCCAAACAAGCUCUCAGAAGCAAGCCAGAUAUUUUAUGUUCUUUGAGAAAUCCUGAUUUAGCAAAUGAAGCCCUUUACUGACUGAACCUA